GUGGAAAUGAAAAAGUUAGGAGAGAACAUGGUUAAAGAUUGUGCAGGGCUUCCAUUAGCCAUUGUUGUAUUGGGAGGAAUUUUGGCUACAAAGAAUAAUUCAUUAAACGAAUGGCAAAAGAUAUCUGACAAUUUAAAAUCAUACUUGAAGAGAGGCAAAAAUCAAGGACCAGAGGAUGUGUUAGCAUUAAGUUAUGAUGAUUUGCCUCCCUAUCUAAGACCAUGUUUCCUCUAUCUAAGCCUUUUUCCGGAGGAUUAUAUGAUAGAUGUGGAUAGAUUGAUUCAAUUAUGGGUUGCUGAAGGUAUUGUGUCAUCAAAGCAAGAAGAAAGAGACGGUGGGGAAAUUGCGGAAGAUGUGGCGGAAUCUUAUUUAAUGGAGCUUGUGGAAAGGUGCAUGAUUCAAGUACGAGAAAGAGAUGUGGCAACCUUAAAGGUCAAAACAAUUCAGAUGCAUGAUCUGAUGAGAGAUCUUUGCUUAUCAAAGGCAAAACAAGAAAAUUUUGUCUUCAUUGUCGAUCAAUCAAAUGCAUCUUCAUUAUCUAUGAUUCGGAAGGUCCGUAGGGUUUCUGUGCAUGAGUUUUUUUUUCAUACAAUGCAUUAAAAGUCCAAAUAUUCGGUCACUUUUGUUCUUCAAUGAGUUCUUUCCGGAGGAGGAAUUAGACAAAUCUUUUCCCUUGGAAGUGUUGAAUUCACUGUAUUUGAUUCUUAUGAUUUCGCGAGCUGGUAUGGGACUCCUUAAAAUUCGGGGAAUUUAGAGAUACAUGUUCAACAACUUCCAAUUGCUAAGAGCCCUAAACUAUGAGAGAACAACAGGUGAUCGUUUUGCAGGGUUUAAGUUACCUAGUGAUAUAGGUAAUCUCAUCCAUUUAAGAUUCUUGAGUCUAAAGGAUCUUGAGUUCUUAUGGCCAAAGUUGCCAUCAUCUCUAGGAAACUUAAGGUGCUUGCAAACCUUGGAUUUAAGAGUUGAUCGUGACAAAAUUCAUGUACCUAAUGUGAUAUGGAGGAUGGAGCAACUAAGACAUUUAUAUCUCCCUUCGAGAUGUGAAAGCAGUACUAAGUUGAAGUUGGGUACUUUGAGAAAACUCCUAACACUUGUGAACUUCAACACCAAGAAUUGUUAUCUGAAGGAUCUUAUCAACAUGACAAAUCUUAGAGAGUUGGGGAUAAAUUUGCCCUUCAAUAUUGAAAAUUUCAAUGAGGAGUUGGGCGAGAAUCCACCCAUAAUCGGAAGUAAAUAUCUUCAUUCCUUGUCUAUUAUUACCUCUGGGUACGAAUCAAUAGAUCCAAGACAUUUGGCCCAUCUCCUUUCAAAUUGUACAAGUAUUUGCAAGUUGAGUAUAGCAGCAGAGAUAAGUAAGUUACCAGAGUAUCACUACUUCUCUUCACAUCUCACUUACNNNNNNNNNNNNNNNNNNNNNNNNNNNNNNNNNNNNNNNNNNNNNNNNNNNNNNNNNNNNNNNNNNNNNNNNNNNNNNNNNNNNNNNNNNNNNNNNNNNNNNNNNNNNNNNNNNNNNNNNNNNNNNNNNNNNNNNNNNNNNNNNNNNNNNNNNNNNNNNNNNNNNNNNNNNNNNNNNNNNNNNNNNNNNNNNNNNNNNNNNNNNCUCUUCAGCGAUUGGAUAUCAGGCAUUGCCCAAGCUUGAAGAUGCUUCCAGAGGGAUUGAGCUCCAUUACAACCCUCAAAGAACUGAAGAUUGAAUCAAUGCCAAAGGCAUUCAAAGAAAGAUUGGAGAAAGGAGGAGAAGAUUUCUACAAAGUCGAACAUGUUCCUUCUAUCAUAUUCCAAAACAUCUGGUAGAUUGACUGAUAAUUGAGAGGUAAUUUCAUAACCUCUAGUUUAGGAAAUGAUUCCUACUUUCUUUGCUUCUUAUAUAUCUUUCGUUUUUGACAUUGUCUCACAUUCUCACUCCAUUUGUCAACACACCAAUGAAUAAUUACAUUUAUUAAAAGUUAAAGGAAGUCGGACAUUGAUCUUUUUAGUUUUGCUUUUCAGGUAAAGACGCCAUUUUUUCACCAGCUACUGCUAUUCACGGGAUCAAAUCUAGAUUUAAAACUCCUAUUAUAAGUGGCGUGUGAAAGUGUGUUAUAUUGUGAGAUUUGGAAUUAUCUUCUCGCUUGUUGACAUCAGACUGGUUGAAUGUUUGUUAUUUUCUUCAAAUUACAAUAAAAAGGUUGCAAGAUAAGGUACGGGAAGAAAGGGAGGUGUCUGGAUUAGCAAGGUACCAAACCCACAUAGCUUUGGUUUACGAUCACCAUUCCUAUCUUUAUUUGUUAGCUUUGCUUUCUCUUUUUAUUUUUUUCUUUUUUUAUCUGUACUUAAUGUAAUAUUAGAAGAGAAGGCAGGACCAUGCUUUUCUAGUUCCAUUGUAAAAUUCAUCACUUCGUUGUCAAUGUUCAUUUCUACUCUUCAGUUUUACUUAAAUAUAAUUGUUUGAUAUAUAUAUAUAUUUAUAUAUAUAUAUAUAUUUGAAUAUGGAUACACGAUAAGAGAAUAUAAUAUUUUUAAUAUUUUCUGUCAUCCUUAACUCAAUAAUCUUUGUUAAGAUAUUAUACCAGGUUCAAUGGUUGCACUUCAUCCCACACUUUCAAAGCAAAAAAUAGGAAAAAUUAAAUAUUACCAACUAAUAACACUUCCAAAUUACAUUGUCUUACAAAAAAAAAAAAGAUACAAUUUGAAUUUUUUUAUCAACAUUUGAUGGUUUAGCAAGCUAUGCUUUAUAAAAGGCAAAGGAAUCUAAGGGAAAAAAAGAUUCCAAUUCAAGAUUUUGUAUCCCCAUGCUUUGCUUCUUAUAUCUACCAACAAUAUCUUGAUGAUAAUAAACUAAAAAAAAAAAAAAAUUCAAGGGAAUCAAAGAUUUCAAAUCCAACUUAAUCGAUUGAAAAUUUCACAUCCACUUAAUUAUUUCAAAUGAUAUUUAUUCAAUAAGUUUAAAUCAAAAACCACAAGAAUCCCCAUUUAUCUUUUAUUCAAAAUGUAAAUCGGAUUCAAUGAAAAUAUUGAACAUAUAAUGUGUGCACAUGGAAAUGUCCAAAUCUUUAAAUAUAGGGUCGACAUGGGAGAAAUCUCCUAAAGAUUUAUAAAAUUCAAUAUGAUCCUAUUAUUUUCGUUAUAAAACUCAAUAUCUUAUUCGGAUUAGGAUACGAGCGAAUAACAGAUAACUAUUUGUAGUUCAAGGUGUGAUAAAAUCUCAGUAGCUAAGAUAUGAAUGUUGCAAAAUACCAUACAAAAUCACAGCCACAUUUGUUAGUAUGACUAUUUUGGGUAAUCAAAGGAAAAAAAUGUUAGCUGUUGAGCAAACAAGGUGAACAGAUUAGAUAUUCCAAUUACGUUCAAGCACUUGACAAAUCCUUUCUGCAAUGGCUUCAGCACGCAUCCUAGGACCUUCAUCAGCUGCAAAAACCGACCAUUUCUAACAACUAAGCUAACAUCACACAUGAUAAUAUAUGUAUAUAACUUAUAUAGAAGAUGAUUAUGUGGAUUAAAAGCUAUGCUAGUUUGACUCAAUACAUGACCAUGGGACAUGCUCGAUUCAUCAAUAACGAUAUGAAAAUACUUGGAAGAAAAAUUAAAUACAUCAAUAUCUAACAUUUACAUCUGAGUUCGAGUAAAGAAAACAUGUCAUUCAAUCUAAACAUGCAAAAUAUCCAAAACUCUUGAUGAGUGUUAGAUAAAAAUAUGUAGAAUGUACCCAAAAUACCCAUCUCGAACUCAGUAGAGAAAUAUCUAGCACUCAAAAGACACUACCUUCAACCAAGAACAAGCAAGUUUCUUCAAAGGCUUGAUAUACUUUCUUCACAGCCAUAUAUAUGUUCAUAUACCCAUAUUAAGGAUGAUUGUUUUGGCAAAGAGGAUGAAAAGAUAGAAAGAAAACCUUUAAUCCAAUGACAAUAUUUGAUUAUAACAACAUGACACAUAUAAUUGUGAUUAAAAUUGCGGUCACAAAUACGUUUGCAAUCACAUCAUGUUAAUGAAUACUAUUGCAAUCAAUUGCAAUAAAUAUCCACAACAACACGAGCCACAAUCCUAAAACAACAAAGAUAAUACAUUACAGCUGUUAAGGAAUUUUCAAUAACGUAUAUACCUGCAAGAUUUUCAGUGAUGACACAAUAAAAUUCACCACCAGACAACUUCCCAAUCUAAUGAAAUUUUCAAACAUAUCAUGUCAUAAGUUUCAAGAUCAACUGAAACAUGCGGAUACCAAGUAUGAUAAGAAAUUAAAUUAAGGAUUUUCUACUGCAAACCUACCACGAAAACAUAAUUUUUAUUAGGAUCAAAGGCAUAGCCCAUCAUGGCAGCAUUAUUGAGUCCAUUUUCAGAGGAAAAUCCUGAAACAUGUUACAGGCAAAUAUUAAGAAAAACAACGCACAAGCAUAAGUAUAAAAAACCUAGCAUGUAAGAAAUCAAUACUUGAAAGGACUAAAAUCACUGCUAACCUAAGACAUUGAAUCUAGCACCACUAGGAAACAUCCGAAAUGAUACUUGUCUUUCAAUGUUGAGAUACAUAGGUCCAAGUCUGCCAUGUUGCGCCAAACGGGAAUUCAUCAACCUCUUGAGAACCUAAAGGAUGAAAAGUUCCAGUCCAAGUUAUAUAUAUACAGACACACACACAGAUAGACAUGAAGAAAGUGGGUUAAUGGUGUAUUAUUUAAGUAAAGAAAAAGUUGAAAUCUUGAACCUCUAAAUAUUGGGUAACAGCGAGUGUUAAAAGUGCAUAAAGUUCUGCUAUUAUCUACAAGAAACAAUGGAGGAAUCACAUACAUUGUUUAUAUUCACUUUUGUUGCUACACAAGCAAGCUGAGUCCAUAAACAAAGGCAUAUCUUUUUCUCCGUUUUUAAAUGGUUUUCUUGUUUUUCGGCUGCUUUUUAUAUUAAGAGACAGAGAUUGUGAGACCUCGUCAUUCUCAAGGAGAAAGUGGUCAAGCAUGAAGAUGAUGGGAAGACCACGAGUCGAUGGUGGUCGAUCCAUGAGUUGAUUAUGAAUAGUUUCAUGUUAUUAAAUAAAAAUGUUAGCUAAAGUUAGUCGAACGCUGUGUUUUAGGGCCGAGGGUUUAAUGAAACUAUAAGUUUUGAUGUUGAAUAAAAAUGGUGCGUAUUGACUGUUUGUUACAGCUGCUCGAGGAACAGCCCUAUAACAGACUUUGUAGCUGCCAAUUCUCAGCCAUAAUAGAAACUGGCAUGGGAAAUGAGCAGAUAUGCCAUUUUGUGAAGGAAAUCAAUUCUUUCUUCUUCCUCGAUUCUCUUUCUCUUCUCUCUUUUUCUUUCUUCCUCUAUUCUGUUGAAAUUAUGCAUCACUUCACCAGCAUUCAUCAUUGUGGACGUAUCUGAUCUUCAGUCUCUGGUUUACUGCCCAUGUAAAGUUAUGGAAAGGAAUGCAAAUUUAAAAGGUUUUCUUGCUAUAGUCUAUGCAAUUUCAUGUGUGGGUGAAAGGAGAUGAAGAUUAAUAGAGUAAUAUUGAUAUACCAACAAUUCAUUAAUUGAAGUACUAUCAAUAUUAUCAACAAGUAACAGAAUUAAGUGAGUACACUAAUAUAGUCUAGAAAAACAAUUUAAUUAAUAAUACCAUAGGGAUGGCAACGGGGUUAAGUUGCUAUUGCUAUUCAUAUCCCUGCCGCUAGCUUUUGACGACUUCACCAAGUAAACUGCAAUCACAAUUGUUGUUCUUAUUACCUGCAAAAACACAGCCAACAAUCUGAAUCCAUAUCCCCAUUUUAGGAACAAAUGCAUGGUGUACCAUUUGUUUCGAAGCCAAAUCAAUUUUCUUAUUUUUUCUUGAAGUAAAACCUUAUCUGACACUUAUAUUCAACACAUAUUCAUGUAUUGGUAUGAAGAUAUGACACUCUUAUCCUAUACUCGUAUCCGUGCUCAGGUAACAUAAGCUGAACCCGCAAGAUAACUGAUUUAACAUCGCAUUGCUGCUAGCUAUUGAUGAUUCCACCAAGUAAACUGCAAUCACAAGUGUUGUUCUUAUUCCUUGCAAAAACACAGUCAACAAUCUGAAUCCACAUUCCCAUUUUCGGAACAAAACCAUGGCGUACCAUUUGUUUCAAAGCCCAAUCAACUUCCUUUACCAUCUUCCCCUUACAAAAACCAUGAAUCAACUUCUUGUAUGAAUCAAAACUAGGAUUAACCCUCUCGAAAACCAUUCUCCCUAUAAUCUCCUUUGCUUCCAUAAACCUCGCAGCAUCAAGCAAACCGUACAACACCUCUUGAUAAGACCCUGCAUUGGGAUAACACCCUUUCUUUUUCAUAAUUUCCAACAGCUUCACACCUUCAUCAGUCCUACCUUGUUUCCUAAGACCUGAGAUCAAGAUAUUAAAGCUAACAGCAUCAGCAUCGAUUCCUUCCGUUUCCAUCCUCCCCAUCAACUCAAAAGCUUCAUCAACCUUCCCCUUAUCGCACAACCCGUGCAUUAAAGUAGAAUAAGUUCUAACAUUAGGCUUACACCUUUGUUUAGGAAAUUCAUCGAGCAGUUGGAAUGCAAACUCUAAUUUCCCAUUUUCACACAACCCUUUAAUGAGAAUAUUCAGAGUACAAGCUUCGAUUUCAACACCCAAAUUGGGAGCUUUCCCAUAAACCUCGUGAACAACAUCAAAUAGUUUGUUCGAUACGAGUAAGCUCAAUACGAUAUUGAAGGUUUUAACACUAGGCCAAGUCCCAUAUUCUGGCAUGCUAAAAAGGAUCUCGAUUGCCCUUUUGAUUCGACCUCCGACAUGCCCAUACUUUUUAAUCACAUGCUGGAAGAAUUCAUCGGAUAAACGACAGGCUUUUUCACGUUUGAGCUUUUCCAUUAUAUUUUCAAUGGAAUCAAAAUCCUGGGCAUAUGCGAGCUUGUUGAUGAGCAAAGUGAAGAGAGGUUCAGUUGGUUUAUAAUCCUUGCGAGCUGAGUAUUGGGCUAGGACUGAAAUGAGAGAGUUUGGAUCUUUAAGAUUGUCAAAGAUUUUGAGGAUUUCGGUCGGGGAGAGCCAGUCUUUGUGGGUUAGUUUGAAAAGGGGAGGGGAAGUGGUGUGGGUUGGUUGAUGGUAGCUGGAAAGUGAGGAGAAAAACGAAAGGGAUUUAAGAGAUGAGAUUUUAGUGGUCAUUGGAUGUUGAAAAAGUGAGGGAAAAUUUUGGGGGUAAGAGCUUUUGACAGAAGAAAGAAGGGAACGUGAAAUCAUGCGUUUGGCCAUUGGAGAAUGUAGAAACUGGAGAGCUAAAAGCUUUGUGCUAUUCGCACUAUAAACAUAUAUAGGGUAAGGGACAGGCUUAAUACUUGUUUUGUCCCCUGUAAUAUAGUAAAAAAUCUCAUUUUGACCCUUUUCCUUUACUUUGUCUGUUUACUUUCAUUUCGUCCAUUGCCUGCUUACUUUCAUUUCGUCCAUCAUGUUAGUCUAUUGAUCAUUUCCGUAAAUCCCAUGUGUUAGGGUUCCUAUAUUAUAGUAUUCAUCCAUAUACUUUAACCCUCCACGUAGUCGCAAUCAAUUGGCUUAAAUGAUCGAGGAUCACUAUAGUAUAAGGACCAAACGUAAACAUGCACUAAUUUUUUUAUACAGAAAUGGUCAAAGGAUUAAAGUGAUAGAUGAAAUGAAAGUAAAGGGCGCAAAGUGAUUGGAAAAGUAGUAAAAUGUUGGAAAAUAUUAAGAGAUUGUAUGAUGCAAAACUUAAAUAAUUUAUCUACUGAAAUUUUGAGGUGUAUUAUUUCGAAGUAAUGAAUCAUUGUUAUUUACAACUAUAUAUUAUAUCUCUUUGAAAUGUACAAAUANNNNNNNNNNNNNNNNNNNNNNNNNNNNNNNNNNNNNNNNNNNNNNNNNNNNNNNNNNNNNNNNNNNNNNNNNNNNNNNNNNNNNNNNNNNNNNNNNNNNCUUCUUCUUCCCUUCAAGAAUUGGUUGGAUUUGGAGGUGCCUAUUGAAAGCCUGGUUGAAAAGGAAUCGAGUUUGGAAUGCCGAAAUGAUCGGAAGCCAUGCCAAUAUAGCAAUUGGAGAGAAAAGGAUCGAUCCCAUUCCGUAAUCAUAUGCCUUAGCUAGUACCUCAGUGAACUGCCAGAGUCCGGUGUUCUCAGUAAUUGGCCUCACAGCUUGAGCAACCUGAAGGGAACUAAAAUGUCAGAGGGAAUAAGGCAAAAGAUGCAAACUCUAGACAAAUACUAUAUGCUGGUCCUCUAAAUAUAUGAACAAAUUUAGAAAAGAACUUGGGUAUGCCCGUAUUUGAUACUUAUUCUUGAAUUCGAGUAACAUAGUCAACUAGACAUACCAAAAUCAGACCCCAUCCAGUCGGCAGAAAUGCAAGACAGCAGACAAGUAAAUCCUUGGACGACAGUUCACAGAUGACUGAGAGAGUGAUAACAAUGGCGAAAACACUUAGGAAGAGGAAUGCUUUAAAGAACCUAAACAUCAGAUGGUAACGAGCACUGAAGAGUUGCCUUCCAACGUUCACUGCCUGUAUGUCAUGUAGAGAUCAAGUUAUCCGUGCAGAAAAUUCAAGGCUACUUCGGAAUUUUCAAAAUAGAACUCAAUAUACUUGAGUAUUAUGAUACUUGAAUGAAUUUUACCUUGACCGUCAGGAAAACUGCAAGAAUCACAACCCAGGAAAGCAUAUAAACAAGGAAAUUUUUGCUCUGUUGGGAGAUGUCAAGAUGAUACACCAAGCCAUACUGAUACAAGAAAAACCGAAUCGAAAGAAGAAUUUCGAACAAUCUAGCACCAUAUCCUGAACGACGAAGGUGAGCUUGUUCAUCAUUCCACCAAGAUUGCCAACUCUUGUUUUGCUGAAUCCCAAUACCACCUUUCUCCUUGAUCCACUUAUUCCAGCCUUUCCAAUCAUCUACAAUCUUGUCCCAAUCGAACCCGGAAGGAUUAAACAAAAAUGGUGCAAAUAACCAAGUCAUGGUCAUGAACCAAACAGAGUACGUGAUUAAUACAUAUGCCAUGCUACUCUGGUAGGACCUCCGGAACAAAUCGUAAACCACUAACAGGAGCAACAGUUCAAAUCCUUUAACAAAGUGGCUUCGUGAAUACAAUCUGUAGUUCUCAGUAAAGCUGGCAUGAAACACCACAACCUUACGUCCGGUAGGUAUAUACUUAGCUCCGCCAUACAUAAUUGUCCGACCAAAAUGAUGGGUUUUUGUCCCAAGGGAAAAAGUGAAGAAAACAGCAGCAAACUGCAGUUGCAUAAGAACAAAAUCUUUAAGGGCCGUAAGAAAUCCCUUCUCAAGUCCGAUCUCCAUUACCAUCGGUAAGCCAGUUAAAAGACCAAGCUGAAUAAACGAUUGAGAAGCAAGAGCAGUUUCCAAUGAUUCAGUGUUUUUCAUUCUAGCCUCAAUGAGGAGUGCCUUUUCUAGUCCACUAAGAACAAGGUAUAGUUGUCCGUAGAGGAACACAUAAAUUCCGAGUACAGAAAUCUGGUUUUUUACAGAUCAUAAGACGGGAAAGGCAAAAAUCAGAAAAGCAUCAUACAGAGAUAAAUAGGAAUCGGAUCAGGUAACCUUGUUUAGUGUGAGAGAAUUACCAGGCUGCUGAAGUAAAAUCCAAUGGUUGUGAAAUAGCAAGAUAGCAUCCUAAAANNNNNNNNNNNNNNNNNNNNNNNNNNNNNNNNNNNNNNNNNNNNNNNNNNNNNNNNNNNNNNNNNNNNNNNNNNNNNNNNNNNNNNNNNNNNNNNNNNNNNNNNNNNNNNNNNNNNNNNNNNNNNNNNNNNNNNNNNNNNNNNNNNNNNNNNNNNNNNNNNNNNNNNNNNNNNNNNNNNNNNNNNNNNNNNNNNNNNNNNNNNNNNNNNNNNNNNNNNNNNNNNNNNNNNNNNNNNNNNNNNNNNNNNNNNNNNNNNNNNNNNNNNNNNNNNNNNNNNNNNNNNNNNNNNNNNNNNNNNNNNNNNNNNNNNNNNNNNNNNNNNNNNNNNNNNNNNNNNNNNNNNNNNNNNNNNNNNNNNNNNNNNNNNNNNNNNNNNNNNNNNNNNNNNNNNNNNNNNNNNNNNNNNNNNNNNNNNNNNNNNNNNNNNNNNNNNNNNNNNNNNNNNNNNNNNNNNNNNNNNNNNNNNNNNNNNNNNNNNNNNNNNNNNNNNNNNNNNNNNNNNNNNNNNNNNNNNNNNNNNNNNNNNNNNNNNNNNNNNNNNNNNNNNNNNNNNNNNNNNNNNNNNNNNNNNNNNNNNNNNNNNNNNNNNNNNNNNNNNNNNNNNNNNNNNNNNNNNNNNNNNNNNNNNNNNNNNNNNNNNNNNNNNNNNNNNNNNNNNNNNAAGGUCCUUACCAAACUUAAGGGCUGAAAGCAGCAAACGUUAUCUUGAAGGGGAAGGGAGGUUCUUAUUAAAGCAGUAGCAUGCGCUUCAAUGUAUACGAUAUCUUUUCGAAUUUCCUAAAAACUUAUGCGUGGAAAUGAAUUCAGCUUUGCAUCAGGAUCCUGAUCCAGAAUAUUGUGCAGCUUCUGGACGAAGGGUCAACUAUGAUAAAAACAAGUAGGACUAACUAGCCCAAAGAGCAUCAGGAUCCUGGACUAACUGUCAAGAUUGUUUUGCAAGUAGAGGAAGUCCUCCAAGCUUUUCAAUGGAUACGUCUCUCAUUUUCCUUCUGCUGAAUUCAUUUCCACGCAUAAGUUUUUAGGAAAUUCGAAAAGAUAUCGUAUACAUUGAAGCGCAUGCUACUGCUUUAAUAAGAACCUCCAUUCCCCUUCAAGAUAACGUUUGCUGCUUUCAGCCCUUAAGUUUGGUAAGGACCUUUAUAUAUAUAUAUAUAUGGUUAAAGUAAGGACCUUAUCUUUGAUAUGCCUCAAAGUUAAUGUUUUCGAAAGCCCCCACAAAGAAGGGACACCCAAGUAGGCGUCCGAAUUAUUUGCCACCUCUAAGGUAGUCUCUUCUUGAAUCAACCUUUCGUUGUCCCUUUGGGAGUAUUCACACUAAAAACGUUGCUUGAUUUAUCAUAGUUGACCCUUCGUCCAGAAGCUGCACAAUAUUCUUGAAUCAAGUUAAUCAUUCUCCUACAAUUUAAUGAACUAGCUUCCAAAAAGAAUAGAAAUCGUUCGUGAAUAACAAAUGUGACACUACUGGAUAAUGACUACNNNNNNNNNNNNNNNNNNNNNNNNNNNNNNNNNNNNNNNNNNNNNNNNNNNNNNNNNNNNNNNNNNNNNNNNNNNNNNNNNNNNNNNNNNNNNNNNNNNNAACUCCUUUCAAUAUAUUCACCAUGAUCUUCGAUAUGAUUUAAUACUUAAAAUUAUAAGGAAUAAUUGACCUAAUUAAAUUAUGUCAUUAAUUCAAGACAUUUAGUUUUCAGAAGUAAAAUUAUCUCAAUCUCGUUCGAAAAUUUCCCUUCCCUAAAAAAAAAACUCUUAAUAGCUUCCAAAACAUCCUUUUUAAUAAUUUCCCAAUAAUUAUGAUAGAAAAUCCCGUUAAAAUCAUCCACGAAAAAAGAGAUUAAUUUAAUUGUUUUGUAUGCUUAACUUGUACAAUAUAAGUAAAAUAUUAUAAUUUUAUCUCCAAAUUCUCUCAACACAUCUUUCUGACCCUUGUUUAUAAUCUCAUUUGUAUCUAGCAGGAUAUCCAAUUUAAAAUUAAAUAAUUUUUUUUAUAAUUCUUUAAAUAUUAAAAAUAUUUUCCUCUAUUAUUAUUUUUUGUUGUUGGAGUAUUAAAUAUUAGCCUUAAAACCAUAAGGCAUGAACUAUUCCAAACAACCCUUAAAAAGAUAUGUAAAUUUUGUUUUUGAAUAUCAUUUUUACUUUUUUAGGUUUCAAAUUGGAUAGUGAAUUAUAUAUUUAUUUAUUCGAAACUCCUCUUAAAUUAAUAAGAGUGAAGUUUCUUAUUUAGUAUUGAUUGUUCCAUAAAAUAUUCAAAGUUUUCAAAGUUUUCAAAUAGAUUUAUUUUUUUAAGUGUAGUUAAUAACCUCAAUAAAAAUUAAACUUUAUAAGUGAUGAAUUUAUAUUAAAAAUUGUUUGAUAAAUUCAUAAAAUAUAAGUUUGGGUUCAUCUACUUUUACAUUUCUUUUACCUAUUUAAAUUAUUUCUUAAUUUUUCUUAUUUUUUAAAAAAUUAUUCUUAAUUUUUUAUACAGGAAAAAUAAUCGACGAGGAAAUGAAAAAGUUAGGAGAGAACAUGGUUCAACAUUGUGCAGGGCUUCCAUUAGCCAUUGUUGUAUUGGGAGGAAUUUUAGCUACAAAGAAUAAUUCAUUAAACGAAUGGCGAAAGAUAUCUGACAAUGUAAAAUCCUACUUGAAGAAGGGCAAAAAUCAAAGACUAGAGGAUGUGUUAGCAUUAAGUUAUGAUGAUUUGCCUCCCUAUCUAAGACCAUGUUUCCUCUAUCUAAGCCAUUUUCCGGAGGAUUAUAUGAUAGAUGUGGAUAGAUUGAUUCAAUUAUGGGUUGCUGAAGGUAUUGUGUCAUCAAAGCAAGAAGAAAGAGAUGGUGGGGAAAUUGUGGAAGAUGUGGCGGAAUCUUAUUUAAUGGAGCUUGUGGAAAGGUGCAUGAUUCAAGUACGAGAAAGAGAUGUGGCAACCUUAAAGGUCAAAACAAUUCAGAUGCAUGAUCUGAUGAGAGAUCUUUGCUUAUCAAAAGCAAAACAAGAAAAUCUUGUCUUCAUUGUUGAUCGACCGAAUGCAUCUUCGUUAUCUAUGAUUCGGAAGGUUCAUAGGGUUUCUGUGCAUGAGUUUUUUUUCAUACAAUGCAUUAAAAGUCCAAAUAUUUAGUCACUUUUGUUCUUCAAUGAGUUCUUUCCGAAGGAGGCAAUUGAAAAAUCUUUGCCCUUGAAAGUGUUGAAUUACGUUGAAGAACAUGAAGAUGAUGAUUGUAAUCCACUAUUUUGGAUUCUUAUAACUUUGGCACGUUCUACAGGACGUCAUAAAAUUCACGAAAUUUGUAGAUACAUGUUCAACAACUUCAAAUUGCUAAGAGUCCUAAACUAUGAGAUAAGAACAAGAAGAACACGUGAUCUUUUUGGAGGGUGGAAGUUACCCAGUGAUAUAGGUAAUCUCGUCCAUUUAAGAUUCUUGAGUCUAAGGAAUUUUGAGUUCCAACGGUCAAAGUUGCCAUCAUCUCUAGGCAACUUAAGGUGCUUGCAAACCUUGGAUUUAAGAGUUGAUGACAGAAUUCAUGUACCUAAUGUGAAAUGGAGGAUGGAGCAACUAAGACAUUUAUAUCUCCCUUUGAGAUGUAAAAGCAGAACUAAGUUGAAGUUGGGUACUUUGACAAAACUCCUAACACUUGUGAACUUCAAGACCAAGAAUUGUUAUCUGAAGGAUCUUAUCAACAUGACAAAUCUUAGAGAGUUGGGGAUAAAUUUGCCCUUCAAUAUUGAAAAUUUCAAUGAGAAGGAGUUGGGCGAGAAUCCACCCAUAAUCGGAAGUAAAUAUCUUCAUUCCUUGUCUAUUACCUAUGAAGAAGGACUGAAAAUAUUUACUUUAUUUUCUAUUGAUGUCAUUAUGAAAUCCUGGUCAAAAAUAGAUCCAAGACAUUUGGCCCACCUCCUUUCAAAUUGUACUAGUAUUUGCAAGUUGAGUAUAACAAGAGUGAUAAGUGAGUUACCAGAGUAUCACUACUUCUCUUCCCAUCUCGCUUACAUACGGUUGAUAUGUUGUAAGUUUGAGGAAGAUCCAAUGCCAACACUAGAGAAGCUGCCUAACUUAAGGAUUCUUGAACUCAAAUAUACUUCAGAAGGAAAGGAAAUGUUUUGCUCUGCUCAGGGUUUUCCUAAACUUGAGUCUCUAAUCCUUGCGGAGCUCUACAAAUUGGAGGAGUGGAAGGUGGAUGAAGGAGCCAUGCCUUCUCUUCAGCGAUUGGAGAUUGAGGAAUGUGGAAACUUGAAGAUGCUUCCAGAGGGAUUGAGGUUCAUUACAACCCUCAAAGAACUGAAGCUUGAAUUAAUGCCAAAGGCAUUCAAAGAUAGAUUAGAGGAAGGAGGAGAAGAUUUCUGCAAAGUCAAACAUGUUCCUUCUGUCAUAUUCCAAAAAUGUGGCUAAUAGAUUGAAUGAUAAUUGAGAGGUAAUUUCAUAACCUCUGGUUUAGGAAAUGAUUCCUACUUUCUUUGCUUCUUAUAUAUCUUUUGUUUUUGACAAUGUCUCACAUUCUCACUCACUUUGUCAACACACCAAUGAAUAAUUACAUUUAUUGAAAGUCAAAGGAAGUGAGACAUUGAUAUUUUUAGUUUUUCUUUUCAGGUAAAGACGCCAUUUUUUCACCUGCUACUGCUAUUCACGGGAUCAAAUCUAGAUUUAAAACUCCUAUUAUAAGUGGCAUGUGAAAGUGUGUUAUAUGGUGAGAUUUGGAAUUAUGUUCUCUCUUGUAUAUAUCUGUGGUUGUUGACUGUUUGUUGUUUUCUUCAAAUUACAAUAAAACGGUUGCAAGAUAUGGUAUUGGAAGAAUGGGAGGUGUCUGGAUUAGCAAGGUACCAAACUCCUCCUCCAUUUCAAUUUCCUUCAAUCUAAUUUAAUUACACGUUCAUUUUUGUCUUUUAAAACAUAAAAUUGCAGAUAAGGAGACGUCACUGACCUUUGUUCCCACAUAGCUUUGGUUUGCGCCUUUGCGGUGACCAUUCCUAUAUUUAUUUGUUAGCUUUGCUUUCUCUGCUUGAGUCUUUCUCUUUUUUCUUUUUUCUUUUUUUUAUAUGCACUUAAUGUAAUAUUAGAAGCCAAGGCAGGACCAUGCUUUUCUAUUGUAAAAUUCAUCACUUUGUUGUCUAUGUUCAUUUCUACUUUUCAUUUGAUAUAUAUUUGAAUAUGGAGAAUAUAAUCUUUUUAAUAUAUACAUAUUUUAGAAAAAAAAUGAAUAUAUGUAUGUUUGACAUAUUUCCCGUUUCAACAUAUUUCCUUAUUUUAUGCAAGUCAAUUGGCAUUUAACCAAAUAAAUUUAAUUGCUUCAGUUUGAGUUAAAAUUAAAAUUUCAAAAUUAAAAAAAAAAUACAAAAAAUAAAGUUGACAAAUUCAAAAAUAUACAUAUUAAAAUUGAUCAAAUUAAAAGUGCACUGGCUAACCUUAAUUUUUUUGUUAAUCUUUCUUUUCGAUUAAUUAAAUGUCCAUGACGUAUAUUAUAUAUCUUAAUAUAUAAAUAUUUUUAAAAAAAUUAAAUAUAUGUAGGUUGGACACAUAUUCAAGUUUGAUAUUCGUCUUAAAUUCGUGCAAUACGGUUAAAUAUUGGUGAAUUAGUAGUUGAUGAAGUAUUAUAUACAUUCUUGGAAUAUUGCUCUAUUCAACGAAUUUAUUUCAGCUCCAUAUGCUUAAAACGCCUCCCAUUUCUAACAUAUUUCCUCAUUUUGGGUAACUCGAUUGGUAUACAAUGUAGUCUUUUUCAUUGUUUAGUAUCCUAAUCCUUAACUCAAUAAUCUUUGUUACAAUAGGGUUUAAUGAUUGCAAUUCAUCUCGAUGCUUCCGAAGCAAAAAAAAAAAAAAUCAAAUUUUACCGGUUAAUUACAUGUCAACACAUAUAAUCCACGAUAUGUUUAUCUGAAAGAUUAAAUAAGAUUAACUAAAUCACAAAGAAAAUAAACGAGUAAACAUAAUCUAGAAAUUCCAAAUUACAUUAUCUAACAAAAAUUCAAUAAGAAAUAAAUGGUUGCAUUUCAUUCUUUAGGGAUUUGCUCUUAUAUCUUCCAACAAUAGCUUGAUGAUAAUAAGCUGAAAAAGAAAAGGAGUCCAAGGGAAUUGAAGAUUCUUAAUUCAGCUAGCUUAAUUGAUUGAAUACUUCAAAUACACUUAAUUAAUACCAAUUAUAUUUAUCAAUAAAUCUAAAAUUUGAAUCCCUCAUUUGCAACCUAUUUUGUAAAAACUGCCAAAUGAAAUCAAAUUAUCUUGUUUCAAUUCUCUUCAAAUUUUAGUUUACAACUUCUAUUUUUGGGUUUCCAUUUGUUUCUACUUUUAAAGCAAACAUUGAUUCAAGAAAUAUUUAUUUCAUUUGGCUUAUUUUCUUUUCUAUUUUUAUGCUAUUCAGAUUCGAUGAAAUAUUGAACAUAAUAUGUGUGCAAGUUAGAUGUCCGAGUCUUGAAAUGUAAGAUCGAAACGGGAGAAAUAUCCUAAAACCCGAUGCUUAAAGAUUUAUAAAAUUUAGUAUAAUCAUGUUGUUUUCAUUAUUAUAAAACUCAAUGUUAAAAUGUCUAUGAUUUGAAUUAUGAUACAAGAGAAAAAUAGCUAACUAUUUUAAGUUCAAGGUGUGAGAAAACCUCAAUAUCUAAGAUAUGAAUGUUGUAAAGUACCACUCAAUCACAGCCACAUUUGUUAGUAUGACUACUUUGGAUGAAAAGUUCUAUUCCAAGUUAUAUAUACACACAGAAAUACACAUGAAGUGGAUUAAUGGUGUAUUAUUAAGUAAAGGAAAACGGUUCUAACUAAAAGAAAGAGUUGAAAUCUUGAACCUCCAAAUAUUGGGUAACCGCUGGUGUUAAAAAGUGCAUAAAGGUCCGCGCUUAUCUACAAGAAAUAAUGGAGGAAUCGCAUACGCUGUUUAUAUUCAUUUUUUUUGCUCCACAAGCAAUCCGAAACCAUAAACAAAGGAGUACUUUUUUGCCUUUUUUAAAUGGUUUUCUUGUUUCUUUUCCGCUUUUCAAAUUCUUCAUUCAAUUCAAGUUCAAGAAACCAUACUAAAUAUAUAUAUAUGUUUAUAUUCGCUUUUCUUGCUACACAAGCAAGCCAAAACCAUAAACAAAGGCAUGCAUUUUAUUUCCUUUUUUAAUGGUUUUCUUGAUUCUUUGUUGUUUUUAAAAUUCUUCAUUCAAUUCAAGUUCAAGAAACCAUACUAAAAUAUAUAUUUAUAUUCGCUUUUUUUGCUACACAAGCAAGCUGAAACCAUAAACAAAGGCAUACAUUUUUUCCUUUUUUAAAUGCAUUUUUUUUUUUGUUUCUUUGUUGUUUUUUAGAUUCUUCAUUCAAUUCAAGUUCAAGAAAUCAUACUAAUUAUAUAUGUUUAUAUUCACUUUUCUUGCUACAUAAGCAAGCCGAAACUAUAAACAAAGGCAUACCUUUUUUUCCCCUUUUUAUCUUGCUGCUUUUUAGAUUUUUCAUUCAAUUCAAGUUUAAGAAAUCAUACUAUAUAUAUACCAUACUAUAUAUAUAUAUAUGUUUAUAUUCACUUUUCUUGCUACACAAGUCAACUGAAACCAUAAACAAAGGCAUAACUUUUUCGCUUUUUUUAAAAUGAUUUUUUUUCUUUGCUACUUUUUUAAAUUUUUAUUCAAUUUAAGUUUAAAAAACCCUACUAAAUAUAUAUAUAUAUAUAUAUAUAUUAAGAGAGAGACAUCAUCAUCCUCAAGGAGUAAGUGGUUAAGCAUGAACUUGAUGGGAAGGCCACAAGUCGGUGGUGGUCAAAUCAUGAGUUGAUUAUGAUUAGUUUCAUGUUAUGGAAAAAAGAUGCUAGUUAAAAUUAGUUACUUGACCGUUGCAUUUUGAGGUUGAGAGUUUAAUGAAACGAUACGCUUUGAUGUUUAAUGAAAACGGUGCGUAUUGAAAGUUUGAUACAACUAAUCGAAUAACAAGCCUGUAACAACUUUGUAACUACCAAUUCCUCGCUUUAAAAAAAUAUUCCAAAUAUGUUUUCUCACCUUAUCAUUUUUGUUAUUUUUCAAGCCCCCUUACCAUUUUAUAUUUUUAAUGGGUAUAUUAUAAAAAUAGUCACCUAGGUAUUGCUUUCAUUCUAUUUUAUUCACUAAGUUAUUAAUUUUUUCGAUUUAAUUACUAAAUUUUUUUAAAUUAAAUAUUUUGAUCACUCUCCCAUUAGUUAUCAUUAGAUAAGUGAUAGGAAGUUAAUGUGGGCUUUUUUUAUUAGUCUAAUAACAAAUUUAGUCAUCUAAUGUUUACACAUUCUAUUAAAUUGAUUUUAAAUAUAAAAUGUUCAAUAGCUUUAAACCUAAAUGUUUACCAAAUCUAUUGUUAUAGUUCAAAUCCUAAAAAUUUCAAUAAAUUUAAUCCUCAAAAUUUGUAAAUUUAAUUUUAAUUCUAACUCAUGGAUGAAUUAAGCAAAUUAAAUCAAAUCAAAUCAAUCGAACAAAGAAUUUAAUUAAAAAGAAAUUCUUCACAUGCAUCAAGGAGGGACUUCCUCUGGUGGUAUCAAGGGGAUUGAUAGAAACAGCUCAGGCUCGAACAAGAACUUCACUGGGCUUAAGAUCAGGAACAGACACAUCGGAUCAAAGCUGCAACACCUCAGGUCCACCGAACCGAGGCAGCAACACCGCCCUGCAACUGUUGGCAUAGCACCGAAUUGAACCCACUUUCAAUGAUAUGAUAACUCCAUAAAGGGUUUGGGUUUUAAGCUUUGAAAGUUCCCCUUUUUCUUCUCAAAUUUUCUGAACUUCAGCUCCUUCCUUUUGUUAAAUGAAGGAAAAGCAAAGGAGAGACACCGAAGUGUUUUAAUCCACAUAGAAAAUAGUGAUUAUGUGACUUGUGAGUGUUGGCCUGGGGUCUUGGAAGAAGAAGAUGAAUAUUGCAUAAUCGAUUUUUAAUUGCUUACUACAUUCAUAAUUAAAUAAAUAAAAAUUUCUAACCUUAUCAAUUAAAUCAAGUUAGAAUGUUCAACUUGAUUUUUGUUUGUUAUAAGGAUCAUAUAUUAUAAAACUUAAUUUUAUUUUAAUAAUUAUAUAAUAUUAUUUUUAAUUAUAUCAUCUGAUACCAUCUUGAGGGCUAAAUUUAGAAUUAAAAUUAAAUUGACAAAUUUUAGAAAUUUUGAGCUUAAAUUUAUUUUUAUUUUUAGGAAUUUGAAAUAAAAUGAGAAAUUUUGUAAAUAUUGAGGAUUAAAUUUGUUGGAAAUUUUAUAUUUAGAAUCAAAUGGUAGAAUGUCUAAACAUUAGGGGGCUAAAUUUAUUAUUAGACCAAUAAAAACAAGUUCAUAUCAAUUUCCCGUCACUCAUCUAAUUGCAACUAAUGAGGAAGUGAUGAAAAUAUUUAACUUCUAAAAAUUUAAUGACUAAAUAAAAAAAUUAACAUUUAAGUGAUCAAAAUAGAAUGAAAUCAAUAAUUUGAUGAGCAUUUUUGUACUGUACCCUAUCUUAAUCCAUCUCACAACCAAAUUUCUCCGUCUUUGCCUAAGUUCUGUGUCUUUGUCAAAUUUUAAUAGAAUUAACAUUUUUAUUUAAAAAAUAUCUUUAAUCGUUUAAUAUAUUUUUAAUAAGUAAAUGUUAAUUCCGUUAAGGGUCAGUUUGUUUACACGUAAAAAGUUAAAAAUAAAAAUAUUGAGUUCUAUAAUAUGAGUCUAUUGAACCGAUUCAAUCAUAAAUUUUAUUAUUAUUGGUUUAUAUAAUGGUUUGAUUUUGAAAAUAUUUGGUUUAACAUUUAGUCAUCCCUUUGAUCAAUUUUAAAUUUUAGAAAUAAUUUUGUUUUUUGUUUACAUUUAAAUGUACAGUUUCUAAUGCAUAUGUGUUACAUUUGAUUUCAAGCCAUUAAUCCUUAAUUACUUUUUAAAAUAAUAGUUUCUUUUAGUUUUUAAAUAAUGUAUAAAUUUAUAAUUAUAUAAGAAAGUAAACUAUAAUAUUAAAUUUUUAAAAAUUAAGUAAAACAACAUGCAAUAAUUUUCAUAAUAAUUAAUGAUAAAUAAGAAAAAUAUUCACAAUUAUAAAACAAACCGUUUAAGAGUAUAUAAACUACUUAUACAAAAUUCUUUUAAAUCAAAGAUGAAAUUAUAUAUAUAUAAAUAACAAAUGAAAUUAUAUAUACAAAUUUAUAAGUGAAAAAUAUACAUAAUUAUAUUCAUAAAAAGUACAUAUGACAAUAUACAAACAAGGCUAUAAAGUAAUUCAUAGGAACAUGGCUUUCUUGUUAGUAUUCUCAUUCUUUUUUUAACAUACCUUUCUUGCUUGUGUUCUCAUUCUAUUAUGAAUAUACCUUUCUUGUUCGUAUUCUCGUUCUAUUGAUGAUUAAUGUUGCUUUAUAAUUGUUUAUAAAUUUAAUAGAACUAUAUAUUACUACUAAAAGUAUAAAAGGGCAAUGAUUUGCAAUUGUUUUUAUAAUUAAGUACUGGUUCUUGCAAUUGUUUUCCCAGCAAGAUUGCGGCACUCACAUCUUGAAAUCCAAAUUCAAGAUUUUAAAGAAUUUUCUGAGCUCGAUAGCUAUUAUGGCUUGGUCUGCUGUGACAUCUGCAGUGACAACAAUUGGCAACCUGCUAACUCAGGAAGCCAUAUACCUAUGGGGCGUGGAGGAGCAAGUUGAUCGUCUGCAAACAGAGCUCAAAUGGAUGCAAAGCUCCUUAAUGGUGGCAGAGACAAAACAAUCAACGGAUGAGAGGAUUCGUCUUUGGGUUGCUGAAAUCAGAGAGCUUGCUUAUGAUGCUGAGGAUAUUGUUGAGGAAUUUGCUCUCAAGAUUGGAUCCAAAAACAAAGGUGGCCUUCCGAGUUGUAUUAAAAGAUCAGCCUGCUGUUUGAAAGAGGGAUGGGUGCUCCAUGAAACCAGGUCAAAGAUCGAGAAAAUCAUAGAAAGAGUCAGCGACUUGGUCCGACGACUACAGGCCUACGGCGUAAAGGAAUUAAAUCCCAGAGGAGAAGGAUCAAGUUUUUCAACUGAAAUACGAGAAUCAAGGCGGCCUUAUCCACAUAUUAUGGAUGAUAAUAUUGUUGGACUAGUUGAUGAUACCAAGGGAUUGGUCGAAGUUCUUACGAAGGAAAGUGGAUGCAAGGUUGUUACAAUAUGGGGCAUGGGUGGUCUGGGAAAGACCACUCUCGCCAAGAAAAUAUAUCACCAUGGUGAGGUUAUUGAUUAUUUCGAUCACUUGGCUUUUGUAUAUGUUUCUCAACCAUGCCGGAAAAGAAAUGUUUGGGAAGACAUUUUAUCUGGUUUCAAAACUUUAGAUAAAGAGGACAGGAAGAUAACAGAUGCAGAAUUAGCAGGGAAGUUGAGUAAAACUUUGAAGGAUAAAAAGUGUCUGGUGAUACUUGAUGAUGUUUGGACCAGUGAAGCUUGGGAUAGUCUAAAACCUGCCUUUCCAGUUGAUAGCAAAAGCAAGAUAUUGCUCACCUCUAGAAACAGGGGGAUAGUUUCAUAUGCUGACAUAAAAGGUAAAAUUUUCUUAAUUAGGUAAAAUUGAAUACUCUUAUUCCUUUGAUGGAAAAUAACCAUGUAUAUUAUUUCAGAGUUGAAGUGCCUAAACGAUGAAGAAAGUUGGGAAUUGUUUCAAAAGAUUGUAUUUCCUCAAACAGGUAAAUAUACAUAUAGCAAAAUUCUUGUUAUACGCUAAAUUUAUUUUUCAUUUUUAAUUUUUUUGACAAUAAUUAAAUUUAAAAAUAUAUAAAAUCUAUUUUAUUUAAAAAUUUCAAAACCUUAAUAUGAAAUAAAUAAAAGAAAUCAAGGCUUUGUAGUUUAUCAGCUAAUGGUACACGCAAGUAAAUAUAAUUAAUAGGUAAAUUCAUUAUCUUUUAUAUUAUAUAUUUUUAAUAACUUUGCUAUUAGUUACCGAGAAUAAAUUAUAUUAGGAUCAUCUUAAAAAAAUAUAAAUUUUAGGCACCAAUAAAAUAAUGUUACAUCGUUAAAUUUUUAAGAUAACAAAGAAUUAUUAUACACUCAUUUAUAUUUAAUAUUUUCUCCAACUUAAUUUAACUUUAAUUAAAUUAUUUAAAAUAAUUAAUUUUUUAAAUUAUAGACAAACAUCUUUUCUUCUUUUACAAAAUUUAAUCAUUUUUUUAUAAGUUAAUAUUUUUUUUAUUUUUGUGCAACCAUUUUUUAAAAAAAUAGUAAUUUUUGUGCAAUAUUUUUCAUGUCAUUGACACAUAAUUUUGAUAAUUAUUUUAUCCUGAACCCAAAACCCCGAACCUUGAACUCGAACCCUAAACCCUGAACCUAAACCUUGAGCCCUGAAUCUCAUAAUUUAAGGUUUGGAUUCGAGAUUUAAAGCUCAGAAUUCGAAGUUCAAGUUUAAAGUUUAAGGGUUCAGGUGGGUUACGAGUUUAGGAUUCAUGGUUCAAGGGUUUGGGGUUGCAAGUUUGGAGUUUUAUGUUUUGGAUCUAGGUUUAGAAUUAUAGAUUUAGGGUUCAGGUAAAAAAUUUACCAAAAUUAUGUGUCAAUGACAUGGAAAAAAUUGUUGAAAUGUUAUUAAAUAAUUGGAAAGGGACCAUGAAUAAUGUGGUCAGAAGAGUCCAUAAAAUAAUUUCUCUAUGGAUGAGUGUAUAAUAAUUUAUGUCUUUAAAAUUUGAUGAUGUGACAAAAAAAAUUUAAUUUUUAGGAUCUUCCUAAUGUAAGUUAUUACCUUAUCUUAAUUAUUGGACUAUAUGCUUGUUUAGUUUCUUAAGCACUUUCAUGGUAUUCUUUUAUACGUUUAUCCUGGAUCCUUGCAUCAGAAAGAUUGAGGUGCAGGUAAACCAUUCUUAUCAAGAGUAAAGCCUAAGAAAGAUGUAGUUGAUUCGAACAACUAGCACAUCUCUUUAUGACCCUAUUUAGCAAACCAAUCCACUAACCUAUUGGCUUCUCGUCUGAUAACAUUGACUUUCAAAGAAGAAAGUUGCAUGACCAGCAUAUCAAAAACCUAAAGGACUAGCCUUAAUCUCCAUCUUCGAUCUUGACUUUUCUUCUUAAUGUUAGAAGCAAUAGUCUGGGAGUUAGUCUUGAUUGUCACAUUGGUCCAUUUGUUCUUCAUAGUUAAUUCAAUCCAUCCAACCAUAGCUUUAGCCUCGACAACCUUACAUGAAUCCACUUAAUCCUUUUACCAAUCCCAUCCAGAAUCUUCCCACUUAAAUUUCUGCCUAUUUCUCUAAUACCGGCACAAGCUAUUAAGGUGUCAAAUGCCCCAUCACAAUUAACUUUAACCCAACCUUCUGGUGAUUUCUCCCAAAUAUCAGCACAAGUAUUUGACUUCCUAGUUCGAUCAGAGUUAUUGUUUGAACAGAGGAUCCAUUGAGCAGAUAAGAAUUCAUUCAUGGAGCAAUUAAUCCUUCGAAUAAUUCUCUCCAAACCAAGUUUCACACCUCCGAUUGUAACCUCACACCUAGCUUUCCAGAUGUGGUAACAAGUGAAAACAAUUCUAACUUGAAAAUCCUCCCUCAUACAAGGCAUUUGUAACAACUUAGAGAACCAUCUGUCAAAUGAUUGAGUUUGAUCAUUUAGCCCUUAAAGACCAAAACAAGCAUCAUACUAUAUUCCCCUAACCCUAUUACAACUAAGAAUAAUAUGUUCAAAGUCUCAUCUUCAAUACCACAUAAACAACAAAUUGUGUUCGAAAAACAUUUUCUUUUCCUCGGAUUAAAACGAGAUGGAAUAGCAUUAUGACACAAUUUCCAUAAGAAAAUUUUAAUUUUUUUCAGUACCUGUAAGCUCCAAAUAGCUUUCUGAGUGCUCCUAUCAAUUAAGUGAGAGCUGGAAGAUUGUAAAGAAGACUCAUUUCCAUAGUGCUUUCUCAUCUCCUUAUACCCUGACUUCAUCAAAUAUUGACCAACAGCUGUAAACGGCCACACCAAUUUAUCUUGUUCAUCUGUUUCAUGAACGGGAACUGUUGGAAAUUGCCAAUCAUUCUGCUGUUACAUUUUUUGGUUGAAGUGCAUGCAGAAAAAAAAUGUUAGAAAUUUGCCAACCAUGCUGCUGUUACAUUUUUUGGUUGAAGUGCAUGCAGCUUGAUGACAUGUUGCAUGCACUUCAACCAAAAAAAUGUAACAGCAACAUGGUUGGCCAAUUUCCAACACUCCUCCUUGGACUCUAUGCUGCAAAUACCAGUCAUUCAUUAAGUUUUUGAACUUGGCAGUCCUUAGAUGCUUUGUUUCAAGCUAACUCUUCUCAAGCAAUUCAUUUUCAACAUUGGCUUCAUUCUCAACCAAAUCUGACUUACACACUUGACUAUACCACUCUUUUGUGCCAAAGAUUUGUCCAUCAAAUGGAGUAUUCUCCUCUUUCACAGCCUUGGUUGACAACUUGCCUUUAAACUCAUCUUUUCUUUCUUGCCUUGUCCCUUUACUCAUUACAAUCCUGUUUCUUCUUGCACAAACAGUUCAUGAGUAUAGUUUGCUUGCCUUCAGUCUGCCAUUUUGGCUUGCACCUACUCGAGCUUGCAUUUAAACUGUUUGCCACUUUGGCUUGCAAUUCGAUAAGCUCACACUUUGACAAGCUCACACUUUGCUUACUGUCUUCAACAGGCUCGCAACUUUACAACUCGCAUUGAGCUUCCACAUGUUGCUGAGCUCACACCCAAAGUUAAUGAUUUCGAAAGCCCCCACAAAGAAGGGACACCCAAGUAGACGUCCGCAUUAUUUACCACCUCUAUGUUAGUCUCUUCUUGAAUCAACCUUUCGUUGUCCCUUCGGGAGUAUUCACACUAAAAACGUUGCUUGAUUUAUCAUAAUUGACCCUUCGUCUAGAAGUUGCACAAUAUUCUUGAAUCAAGUUAAUCAUUCUCCUACAAUUUAACGAACUCACUUCCAAAAAGAAUAGAAAUCGUUCGUGAAUAACAAAUGUGACACUACUGGAUAAUAACUACUAAGGCUAAUCCAAGAAAUAAAACUAGACUCGACUCUAUUAAUAAUCACCACCCCUAGAACUCCUUUCAAUAUAUUCACCAUGAUCUUCGAUAUGAUUUAAUACUUAAAAUUACACAGACUAAUUGACCUAAAUUAUGUCAUUAAUUCAAAACAUUUAGUUUUCAGAAUUAAAAUUAUCUCAAUCUCAUUUGAAAAUUUCCCUUCCCUAAAAAAAAAAACUCUUAAUAGCUUCCAAAACAUCCUUUUUAAUAAUUUCCCAAUAAUUAUGAUAAAAAUUCUGCUAAAAUAUUCGCAAAAAAAAGAUAUUAAUUUAAUUGUUUUGUAUGCUUAACUUGUACAAUAUAAGUAAAAUCUUAUAAUUUUAUCUCCAAAUUCUCUUAACACAUCUUUCUGACCCUUAUUUAUAAUCUCAUUUGUAUCUAAGAGGAUAUUCAAUUUAAAAUUAAAUAAUCUUUCUUAUAUAAUUCUUUAAACAUUAAAAGUAUUUUCCUCUAUUUUUUUUUUUUUGGUUGGAGUAUUAAAUAUUAGCCUUAAAACCAUAAGGCAUGAACUAUUCCAAACAACCCUUAAAAAGAUAUGUAAAUUUUGUUUUUGAAUAUAUCAUUCUUACUUUUUUAGAUUUCAAAUUGGAUAGUGAAUUAUAUAUUUAUUUAUUUGAAACUCCUCUUAAAUUAAUGAGAGUGAAGUUUCUUAUUUAGAAUUGAUUGUUCUAUAAAGUAUUCAAAUUUUUCAAAUAGAUUUAUUUUUUCAAGUGUAGUUAAUAACCGCAAUAAAAACUAAAUUUUAUAAGUGAUGAAUUUAUAUUAAAAAUUGUUUGAUAAAUUCAUAAAAUAUAAGUUUGGAUUCAUCUACUUUUACAUUUUUUUUACCUAUUUAAAUUAGUUCUUAAUUUUCCUUAUUUUUAAAAAAUUUAUUCUUAAUUUUUUAUACAGAAAAUAUAAUCGACGUGGAAAUGAAAAAGUUAGGAGAGAAUAUGGUUAAACAUUGUGCAGGGCUUCCAUUAGCCAUUGUUGUAUUGGGAGGAAUUUUGGCUACAAAGAAUAAUUCAUUAAAUGAAUGGCGAAAGAUAUCUGACAAUAUAAAAUCAUACUUGAAGAAAGGCAAAAAUCAAAGACCAGAGGAUGUGUUAACAUUAAGUUAUGAUGAUUUGCCUCCCUAUCUAAGACCAUGUUUCCUCUAUCUAAGCCAUUUUCCGGAGGAUUAUAUGAUAGAUGUGGAUAGAUUGAUUCGAUUAUGGGUUGCUGAAGGUAUUGUGUCAUCAAAGCAAGAAGAAAGAGAUGAUGGGGAAAUUGCGGAAGAUGUGGCGGAAUCUUAUUUAAUGGAGCUUGUGGAAAGGUGCAUGAUUCAAGUACGAGAAAGAGAUGUGGCAACCUUAAAGGUCAAAACAAUUCAGAUGCAUGAUCUGAUGAGAGAUCUUUGCUUAUCAAAGGCAAAACAAGAAAAUUUUGUCUUCAUUGUUGAUCAAUCAAAUGCAUCUUCAUUAUCUAUGAUUCGGAACGUUCGAAGGGUUUCUGUGCAUGAGUUUUUUUCAUACAAUGCAUUAAAAGUCCAAAUAUUCGGUCACUUUUGUUCUUCAAUGAGUUUUUUCCGGAGGAGGCAUUAGAAAAAUCUUUGCCCUUGGAAGUGUUGAAUUACGUUGAAGAACAUGAAGAUGAAGUUUGUAAUCCACUUGUUUGGAUUCUUAUGAUUUCGCGAACUGGUACGAGCUUUCUUAAAGCUCGGGGAAUUUGGAGAUACAUGUUCAACAACUUCAAAUUGCUAAGAGCCCUAAACUAUGAGAGAACAACAUGUGAUCGUUUUGUAGGGUUUAAGUUACCCAGUGAUAUAGGUAAUCUCAUCCAUUUAAGAUUCUUGAGUCUAAAGGAUCUUGAGUUCACAUGGCCAAAGUUGCCAUCAUCUCUAGGCAACUUAAGGUGCUUGCAAACCUUGGAUUUAAGAGUUGAUAGUUACAAAAUUCAUGUACCUAAUGUGAUAUGGAGGAUGGAGCAACUAAGACAUUUAUAUCUCCCUUGGAGAUGUAAAAGCAGAACUAAGUUGAAGUUGGGUACUUUGAGAAAACUCCUAACACUUGUGAACUUCAACACCAAGAAUUGUUAUCUGAAGGAUCUUAUCAACAUGACAAAUCUUAGAGAGUUGGGGAUAAAUUUACCCUUCAAUUUUGAAAAUUUCAAUGAGAAGGAGUUGGGCGAGAAUCCAUUCAUAAUCGGAAGCAAAUAUCUUCAUUCCUUGUCUAUUAUUACCCGUAGGCUAAAGAUAUCAAUAGAUCCAAGACAUUUGGCCCACCUCCUUUCAACUUGUACAAGUAUUUGCAAGUUGAGUAUAGCAGCAGAGAUAAGUAAGUUACCAGAGUAUCACUACUUCUCUUCACAUCUCACUUACAUACGGUUGAGAUGGUGCAAGUUUGAGGAAGAUCCAAUGCCAACACUAGAGAAGCUGCCUAACUUAAGGAUUCUUGAAUUCGAAUGUUCUUUGAAAGGAAAGUAAAUGUUUUGCUCUGCUCAGGGUUUUCCUAAACUUGAGUCUCUAAUCCUUGCGGAGGUCGACAAUUUGGAGGAAUGGGAGGUGGAUGACGGAGCCAUGCCUUCUCUUCAGCGAUUGGAUAUCAGGCAUUGCCCAAGCUUGAAGAUGCUUCCAGAGGGAUUGAGCUCCAUUACAACCCUCAAAGAACUGAAGAUUGAAUCAAUGCCAAAGGCAUUCAAAGAAAGAUUGGAGAAAGGAGGAGAAGAUUUCUACAUAGUCAAAGAUGUUCCUUCUAUCAUACUCCAAUACUGUGGCUAAUAAAUUGAAUGAUAAUUGAGAGGUAAUUUCAUAACCUCUAGUUUAGGAAAUGAUUCCUACUUUCUUUGCUUCUUAUAUAUCUUCCGUUUUUGACAAUGUCUCACAUUCUCACUCAAUUUGUCAACACACCAAUGAAUAAUUACAUUUAUUAAAAGUCAAAGGAAGUCAUCUUUUUAGUUUUGCUUUUCAGGUAAAGACGCCAUUUUUUCACCUACUACUAUAAUGGCGUGUGAAAGUGUGUUAUAUGGUGAGAUUUGGAAUUAUCUUCUCUCUUGUAUAUAUUGUUGGAACAUUUUCAAAUAUUUAUAGUAUCCCAAUAACUAUAAAUGAAUGGGUGUAAUUAAUCAAAAGAUAAAUCUUUUGGUCAUUGGUCAAAAGUUAUAUCAUUUGAUUUUUUAAAAAAGAAUUAUAAUUAUUCAAAAAAUAUUAUUUGAAUAGUUACAAAAUUAAAGGAAUAAUUAUUAUUAUUUAUUUAUUCAUAAAGACACCUAUUGAAAGAUGUCUCUAUGAAGAGACAUGAAAAUUCCUAUAAAUAGGAAUGGGAUUUCAUUUGGAAAUCAUAUCAACAAAUUCUAAUAUUAUUUCUUCUCUUCCUUCAUUUUCUAAUAUUAUUAGAUUAUUCUAUAAAGUAUUCCUGCAGAAAUUCUUUGUAGAAAUUGAGUUUUUGUUACACAUUACUCAGUGCAUAGUGGACUAUUCUCGUCAGUGCAAAACACAAAUAGUCAUUGGCUUCAUUGUAUCCUCGAGGUUAAUUUGCUUGGAACUCAUUUGCACACUGAAGAUAAGUGGGGGCGAAUAUAACCUUAAUGAUAGUGGCUUGAUACACGCCUUGGAGCCUUGUCCUAUUUCUUCUUUUUCUUUUCGAGUUCCGAUCGUGUGUUCGAGAUUUUCCUUACCGGAGUUUUGUAAUAACAUAUAUCUAUGGUUGUUGACUGUUUGUUGUUUUCUUCAAAGUACAAUAAAACGGUUGCAAGAUAAGGUAUUGGAAGAAUGGGAGGUGUCUGGAUUAGCAAGGUACCAAAUAAGGAGACGUCAUAAAACAUAACAUUGCAGAUAAGGAGACAUCACUGACCUUUGUUCCCACAUAGCUUUGGUUUGCGGUGACCAUUCCUAUAUUUAUUUGUUAGCUUUGCUUUCUCUUUCUUUUUUUUCCCUUAAGUCUGCUUGAGUCUUUUUCUUUUUUUAUAUGUACUUAAUGUAAUAGUAGAAGCCAAGGCAGGACCAUGCUUUUCUAUUGUAAAAUUCAUCACUUCGUUAUUUUAUAUUUGUAUGUUGACACAUUUCCCGUUUCAACAUAUUUCCUUAUUUUAUGCAAGUCGAUUGGUAUUCAUCAUAAAAAUUACGAUAUCAUAUCAAGUUUAAUGGUUACACUUCCAAAACAAAAAAUAGGAAAAAUUAAAUCUUACCAACUAAUAACACUUUCAAAUUACACUGUCUUACAAAAAAAAAAAAAAAAAAGAAGAAGAUACAAUUUGAAUUUUUUUAUCAAAUGGUUUAGCAAGCUAUGCUUUAUAAAAGAGGCAAAGGAAUCCAAGGGAAUCAAAGAUUCCAAAAUCGAUAUUUAGAUUCAAGAUUUUGUAUCCCCAUGCUUUGCUUCUUAUAUCUACCAACAAUAUCUUGAUGAUAACAAACUAAAAAAAACUAUUCAAGGGAAUCGAAGAUUUCAAAUCCAACAUAAUUGAUUGAAAAUUUCACAUCCACUUAAUUAAUUCAAAUGAUAUUUAGUCAAUAAGUUUAAAUUAAAAACUGCAAGAAUCUUCAUUUAUCUUUUAUUCGAAAUGUAAUUCGGAUUCAAUGAAAAUAUUGAACAUAUAAUGUGUGCACAUGGAAAUGUCCAAAUCUUUAAAUAUAGGGUCGACAUGGGAGAAAUCUCCUCAGACAUUGAAUUUAUUGAGUGCAUUUUCAGAGGAAAAUCCUGAAACAUGUUACAGGCAAAUAUUAAGAAAAACAAUGCACAAGCAUAAGUACAAAAACAUAGCAUGCAAGAAAUCAAUACUUGAAAGGAUUAAAAUCACUGCUAACCUAAGACAUUGAAUCUAGCACCACUAGGAAACAUCCGAAAUGAUACUUGUCUUUCAAUGUUGAGAUACAUACGUCCAAGUCUGCCAUGUUGCGCCAAACUGGAAUUCAUCAACCUNNNNNNNNNNNNNNNNNNNNNNNNNNNNNNNNNNNNNNNNNNNNNNNNNNNNNNNNNNNNNNNNNNNNNNNNNNNNNNNNNNNNNNNNNNNNNNNNNNNNUUAUAUAUAUAUAUAUAUAUAUAUAUACAGACACACACACAGAUAGACAUGAAGAAAGUGGGUUAAUGGUGUAUUAUUUAAGUAAAGAAAAAGUUGAAAUCUUAAACCUCUAAAUAUUGGGUAACAGCUAGUGUUAAAAGUGCAUAAAGUUCUUCUAUUAUCUACAAGAAACAAUGGAGGAAUCACAUACAUUGUUUAUAUUCACUUUUCUUGCUACACAAGCAAGCUGAGUCCAUAAACAAAGGCAUACCUUUUCUCCGUUUUUAAAUGGUUUUCUUGUUUCUUGGCUGCUUUUUAUAUUAAGAAGAGAGAUUGUGAGACCUCGUCAUCCUCAAGGAGUAAGUGGUCCAGCAUGAAGAUGAUGGGAAGACCAUGAGUCGAUGGUGGUCAAUCCAUGAGUUGAUUAUGAGUAGUUUCAUGUUAUGAAAUAAAAAUGUUAGCUAAAGUUAGUUGAACGCUGUGUUUUAGGGUUGAGGGUUUAAUGAAACUAUCAGUUUUGAUGUUGAAUGAAAAUGGUGCGUAUUGACGGUUUGUUACAACUGCUCGAGGAACAGCCCUAUAACAGACUUUGUAACUGCCAAUUCUCAGCCAUAAUAGAAACUGGCAUGGGAAAUGGGCAGAUAUGCCAUUUUGUGAAGGAAAUCAAUUCUUUCUUCUUCCUUGAUUCUCUUUCUCUUCUCUCUUUUUCUUUCUUCCUCUAUUCUGUUGAAAUUAUGCAUCACUUCACCAGUAUUCAUCAUUGUGGACGUAUCUGAUCUUCAGUCUCUGGUUUACUGCCCAUGUAAAGUUAUGGAAAGAAAUGCAAAUUUAAAAGGAUUUCUUGCUAUAGUCUAUGCAAUUUCAUGUGUGCGUGAAAGGAGAUGAAGAUUAAUAGAGUAAUACUGAUAUACCAACAAUUCAUUAAUUGAAGUACUAUCAAUAUUAUCAACAAGUAACAGGAUUAAGUGAGUAUACUAAUAUAGUCUAGAAAAGCAAUUUAAUUAAUAAUACCAUAGGGAUGGCAAGAGGGUGAAGUUGCUAUUGCUAUUUAUAUCUCAGCUGCUAGCUUUUGACGACUUCACCAAGUAAACUGCAAUCACAAGUGUUGUUCUUAUUACCUGCAAAAACAGAGCCAACAAUCUGAAUCCAUAUCCCCAUUUUAGGAACAANNNNNNNNNNNNNNNNNNNNNNNNNNNNNNNNNNNNNNNNNNNNNNNNNNNNNNNNNNNNNNNNNNNNNNNNNNNNNNNNNNNNNNNNNNNNNNNNNNNNCCGUAUCUGACACUUAUAUUCAACACAUAUUCAUGUAUUGGUAUGAAGAUAUGAUAUUCUUAUCCUAUACUCAUAUCCGUGCUCAGGUAACAUAAACUGAACCCGCAAGAUAACUGAUUUAACAUUGCAUUGCUGCUAGCUAUUGAUGAUUUCACCAAGUAAACUGCAAUCACAAGUGUUGUUCUUAUUCCUUGAAAAAACACAGUCAACAAUCUGAAUCCACAUUCCCAUUUUCGGAACAAAACCAUGGCGUACCAUUUGUUUCAAAGCCCAAUCAACUUCCUUUACCAUCUUCCCCUUAUAAAAACCAUGAAUCAACUUCUUGUAUGAAUCAAAACUAGGAUUAACCCUCUCGAAAACCAUUCUCCCCAUAAUCUCCUUUGCUUCCAUAAACCUCGCAGCAUCAAGCAAACCAUACAACACCUCUUGAUAAGACCCUGCAUUGGGAUAACACCCUUUCUUUUUCAUAAUUUCCAACAGCUUCACACCUUCAUCAAUCCUACCUUGUUUCCUAAGACCUGAAAUCAAGAUAUUAAAGCUAACAGCAUCAGCAUCGAUUCCUUCCGUUUCCAUCCUCCCCAUCAACUCAAAAGCUUCAUCAACCUUCCCCUUAUCGCACAACCCGUGCAUUAAAGUAGAAUAAGUUCUAACAUUAGGCUUACACCUUUGUUUAGGAAAUUCAUCGAGCAGUUGGAAUGCAAACUCUAAUUUCCCAUUUUCACACAACCCUUUAAUGAGAAUAUUCAGAGUACAAGCUUCGAUUUCAACACCCAAAUUGGGAGGUAAACCUCGUGAACAACAUCAAAUAGUUUGUUCGAUACGAGUAAGCUCAAUACGAUAUUGAAGGUUUUAACACUAGGCCAAGUCCCAUAUUCUGGCAUACUAAAAAGGAUCUCGAUUGCCCUUUUGAUUCGANNNNNNNNNNNNNNNNNNNNNNNNNNNNNNNNNNNNNNNNNNNNNNNNNNNNNNNNNNNNNNNNNNNNNNNNNNNNNNNNNNNNNNNNNNNNNNNNNNNNNNNNNNNNNNNNNNNNNNNNNNNNNNNNNNNNNNNNNNNNNNNNNNNNNNNNNNNNNNNNNNNNNNNNNNNNNNNNNNNNNNNNNNNNNNNNNNNNNNNNNNNNNNNNNNNNNNNNNNNNNNNNNNNNNNNNNNNNNNNNNNNNNNNNNNNNNNNNNCAGCCAGUCUUUGUGGGUUAGUUUGAAAAGGGCAGGGGAAGUGGAGUGGGUUGGUUGAUGGUAGCUGGAAAAUGAGGAGAAAAACGAAAGGGGUUUAAGAGAUGAGAUUUUAGUGGCGAUUGGAUGGUGAAAAAGUGAGGGAAAAUUUUGGGGGUAAGAGCUUUUGACAGAAGAAAGAAGGGAACGUGAAAUCAUGCGUUUGGCCAUUGGAGAAUGUAGAAACUGGAGAGCUAAAAGCUUUGUGCUAUUCGCACUAUAAACAUAUAUAGGGUAAGGGACAGGCUUAAUACUUGUUUUGUCCCCUGUAAUAUAGUAAAAAAUCUCAUUUUGACCCUUUUCCUUUACUUUGUCUGUUUACUUUCAUUUCGUCCAUCAUGUUAGUCUAUUGAUCAUUUCCGUAAAUCCCAUGUGUUAGGGUUCCUAUAUUAUAGUAUUCAUCCAUAUACUUUAACCCUCCACGUAGUCGCAAUCAAUUGGCUUAAAUGAUCACACACGAGGAUCACUAUAGUAUAAGGACCAAAGUGAGAAUUUUAUUAUUAAUUAAGUGACAAAUACGUAAACAUGCACUAAUUUUUUUAUACAGAAAUGGUCAAAGAAUUAAAGUGAUAGAUGAAAUGAAAGUAAAGGGCGCAAAGUGAUUGGAAAAUUAGUAAAAGGUUGGAAAAUAUGAAGAGAUUGUAUGAUGCAAAACUUAAAUAAUUUAUCUACUGCAAUUUUGAGGUGUAUUAAUUUGAAGUAAUGAAUCAUUGUUAUUUACAACUAUAUAUUAUAUCUCUUUGAAAUGUACAAAUAAAUUAAUGGGCAGAAUGUUUAUGAAUGUCAAAACUUUAUUUUUGCUUCUUCUUCCCUUCAAGAAUUGGUUGGAUUUGGAGAUGCCAAUUGAAAGCCUGGUUCAAAAGGAAUCGAGUUUGGAAUGCCGAAAUGAUCGGAAGCCAUGCCAAUAUAGCAAUUGGAGAGAAAAGGAUCGAUCCCAUUCCGUAAUCAUAUGCCUUAGCUAGUACCUCAGUGAACUGCCAGAGUCCGGUGUUCUCAAUAAUUGGCCUCACAGCUUGAGCAACCUGAAGGGAACUAAAAUGUCAGAGGGAAUAAGGCAAAAGAUGUAAACUCUAGACAAAAACUAUAUGCCGAUCCUCUAAAUAUAUGAACAAAUUUAAAAAAAAAAAUUGGCCAUGCCCGUAUUUGAUACUUAUUGUUGAAUUCGAGUAACAUAGUCAACUAGACAUACCAAAAUCAGACCCCAUCCAGUCAGCAGAAAUGCAAGACAGCAGACAAGUAAAUCCUUGAACGACAGUUCACAGAUGACUGAGAGACUAAUAACAAUGGCCAAAAUCCUUUACAAUUGUUUGAUUCCUCAGUCAUAUUGCCUUGGAAUCUUCGGAAGUCAAGACAAGUCUAGCUCAUCAGCUUUGCCAUUCAUCUUGAAACUCCAAGCCAAUAUGUCGUGCGUGAACCCAGGCUAUAUAAACAAUGCAAAUAAAAUAUAUGAAAUCACGGUGUACUGUAAGUAUAGAGAUUAAAUUGUAAUAUAGUUUUAGAUUUAUAAUGAAAUACAAAAAUAUUUCAAAAAUCGUACUCAAAGAAAGUAUGAACUAAAAUUGAAUUAAACAUUAACAAAGAAUAUGCAAAACUAAGUCUAAAUAGCUACUUCCUUAAUUAUGAUAGUAUGAUUAAACAUAAAUUGAAAGUAUAAAACUGGUAGACAAAUCAAUGAGAAAUGACAAACAAUAGUUCAUUAAUAUCCAUGAUUGUAAUUAAUCUAGACUUAUUCUACCAAAUAAUCAAUUUAGUCCUCUUAUCUUUCGAGCUGAUGGAUCUAAAUGGGACAACUGAAUCAGUUCUAGAUAAAAUCUCCUUUCAAUCUCAUCUACUUAAAUUUUCAUCUAGAGUCAUCAAUUUGAUCCAAUUAAUCAACUCAAAGCCUAGAAUUAAAUUAACUAUUCUCACUUCAAUUAACCAACUUUCUCAAAAAUUUAGUUAAGACCCAUUCUAAUGAUACUAGACCCACUUAAUUCGUAAACCAUGAAUAAAGUUAAUGAUACGAAAGAAUAGAGUUGAGAGAUGCGCAAUAAUCCAAAAAUUUCUGAUUGUGGAUAUCUUCUUUGAGUAGCAACUGAAAUUCUCAUAACGAAAGCGUGAAAUGAAAAAAUAAAUAUAUUUUUAUUAAAAUGAGUAUGAAGCGAGUGAAAUGAAAAAGAAAGGAAAACGGAUAAGGCUCCGAUUAAAGUUACUUUAAACAAGUAAAUAUAUUUUAUUCAAAUUUAUAGUUUAUUAUAUUUAUCUGUAAUCCUCACUUUAAAAAAGCAUUCCAAAUAUGCUUCCUCACUAGAGGUAAUAAUGGGUUGGACGGCCCGGCCUGACGGCCCACCCGAAAUAUGGGAGGAUUUGGGUAAAAAUAUAAGCCCGAAAUAUGGGUUUGGGUAAAAAAUGAGACCCGUUUAGAAAACGGGCUGGGCCUUAGGCAAAAAGUUUUUGGCCUGGGCCGAGCCUGGACAAAAUUUUAGUCCCAUAUUUUGGGCCGGGGUAGGCCCAGGGAUAGGACGUAGGCUGAAAAUUUUUUUUGGGCCUUGCCCGAACCCAGCCCGGCUCGGCCCAUGAUCACCUCUGUUCCUCACCUUAUCAUUUUUGCUUUUUUUCAAGUGCCAUUAUAAUUUUUGUUAAUCUUUCUUUUCCCUUAAUUAAAGCUUGAUGACUUAUAUUAUAUAUAUCCAUUUUAAAGAAAAUGUCACUAAAUUAUUGCUUUCGUUCUGUUUUGGUUAUUAAAUUAUUAAUUUUUUCGAUUUCGUUACUAAAUUUUUCGAAAUUAAUUAUUUUGAUCACUUUCUCGUUAAUUGUCAUUAGAUAAGUGAGGAAAAGCUAACACAAGUUUAUUUUAUUGUUCAAAGUAAUCCCUAUAUAUUAAAUAAAAAUUCAAUUUAAUUAUUGAAUUAAACUAAAAAUUCAAAUAAACUCAUAAUAUUACAACUUUUUUAUUAUAUAUAAUAUUUCCAAAUAAUAAAUUUAAAUUUAUUAUGAUUAUCAAACUUUUGUUUCAAUAUACCUACUAUAGUAUAUUUUCACUUUUUAAAUUGAUUAUAAUUAUUUUUUAAAUGUUAAUUUAAUAAUACGAUAAAAAAAUAAAUGAUAUUUUUAUCGAUUUAAUUUUUUUAAACUUAUGCUUUUAUAGAUAUUAUAGAUGGAUUAUAGAUUAUAGGAAUAGGGUCUAAUGGCUAAAAAGAAAAAUUAUGUACCGGCUAUGUGAAGGCAUUAUACAAUGGAUCAUCAAAGUAGAAAGAUUAGUAUUAGAUAAAGUGAAAGUGAGUGUCCUCCACUCAUUUUACUUUUAAAAAAAAAAAUUUAAACAAAAAAGACUUUACUUUUGUUCUACGAACCUUUCUGUUUGUAGGAUUUCUGCACUCACAUCUUGAAAUCCAAAUUCAAGAUUUUAAAGAAAUUUCUGAGCUUACUCACUAUUAUGGCUUGGUCUGCUGUGACAUCUGCAGUGACAACAAUUGGCAACCUACUAACUCAGGAAGCCAUAUACCUAUGGGGUGUGGAGGAGCAAGUUAUGGAUGCAAAGCUCCUUAAUGGAGGCAGAGACAAAACAAUCAAAGGAUGAGAGGAUUCGUCUGUGGCUUGCUGAAAUCAGAGAGCUUGCUUAUGAUGCUGAGGAUAUUGUUGAGGAAUUUGCUCUCAAGAUUGGAUCCAAAAACAAAGGUGGCCUUCCGAGUUGUAUUAAAAGAUCAGCCUGCUGUUUGAAAGAGGGAUGGGUGCUCCAUGAAACCAGGUCAAAGAUCGAGAAAAUCAUAGAAAGAAUCAACGACUUGGUCCGGCGACUACAGGCCUACGGAGUAAAGGAAUUAAAGGACAGAGGAGAAGAAUCAAGUUUUUCAACUGAAAGACGAGAAUCAAGGCGGCCUUAUCCACAUAUUAUGGAUGAUAAUAUUGUUGGACUAGUUGAUGAUACCGAGGGAUNNNNNNNNNNNNNNNNNNNNNNNNNNNNNNNNNNNNNNNNNNNNNNNNNNNNNNNNNNNNNNNNNNNNNNNNNNNNNNNNNNNNNNNNNNNNNNNNNNNNNNNNNNNNNNNNNNNNNNNNNNNNNNNNNNNNNNNNNNNNNNNNNNNNNNNNNNNNNNNNNNNNNNNNNNNNNNNNNNNNNNNNNNNNNNNNNNNNNNNNNNNNNNNNNNNNNNNNNNNNNNNNNNNNNNNNNNNNNNNNNNNNNNNNNNNNNNNNNNNNNNNNNNNNNNNNNNNNNNNNNNNNNUUGAUGAUGUUUGGACCAGUGAAGCUUGGGAUAGUCUAAAACCUGCCUUUCCAGUUGCAACGGGCCGUGAUAGCAAUAGCAAGAUAUUGCUCACCUCUAGAAACAAGGGGAUAGUUUCAGAUGCUGAGAUAAGAGGUAAAAUUUUCUUAAUUAGGUAAAAUUGAAUACUCUUAUUCCUUUGAUGGAAAAUAACCAUGUAUAUUAUUUCAGAGUUGAAGUGCCUAAACGAUGAAGAAAGUUGGGAAUUGUUUCAAAAGAUUGUAUUUCCUCAAACAGGUAAAUAUACGUAUAGCAAAAUUCUUGUUAUAUGCUAAAUUUAUUUUUCAUUUAAAAUUUUUUUUUGGUGAAAGUAAGGACCUUAUCUUUGAUAUGCCUCAAAGUUAAUGUUUUCGAAAGCCCCCACAAAGAAGGGACACCCAAGUAGGCGUCCGAAUUAUUUGCCACCUCUAAGUUAGUCUCUUCUUGAAUCAACCUUUCGUUGUCCCUUUGGGAGUAUUCACACUAAAAACGUUGCUUGAUUUAUCAUAGUUGACCCUUCGUCCAGAAGCUGCACAAUAUUCUUGAAUCAAGUUAAUCAUUCUCCUACAAUUUAACGAACUAGCUUCCAAAAAGAAUAGAAAUCGUUCGUGAAUAACAAAUGUGACACUACUGGAUAAUGACUACUAAGGCUAAUCCCAGAAAUAAAACUAGACUCGACUCUAAUAAUAAUCACUACCCCUAGAACUCCUUUCAAUAUAUUCACCAUGAUCUUCGAUAUGAUUUAAUACUUAAAAUUACAAGGACUAAUUGACCUAAAUUAUGUCAUUAAUUCAAGACAUUUAGUUUUCAGAAUUAAAAUUAUUUCAAUCUCGUUCAAAAAUUUCCCUUCCCUUAAUAGCUUCCAAAACAUCCUUUUUAAUAAUUUCCCAAUAAUUAUUAUAGAAAAUCCCGUUAAAAUCAUUUGCAAAAAAAGAGAUUAAUUUAAUUGUUUUGUAUGCUUAACUUGUACAAUAUAAGUAAAAUCUUAUAAUUUUAUCUCCAAAUUCUCUCAACACAAUUUUCUGACCCUUAUUUAUAAUCUCAUUUGCAUCACACAGGAUAUCCAAUUUAAAAUUAAAUAAUUUUUUUUAUAUAAUUCUUUAAAUAUUAAAAGUAUUUUCCUCUAUUAUUUUUUUUUGUUGGAGUAUUAAAUAUUAGCCUUGAAACCAUAAGGCAGGAACUAUUCCAAACAACCCUUAAAAAGAUAUGUAAAUUUUGUUUUUGAAUAUCAUUUUUACUUUUUUAGAUUUCAAAUUGGAUAAUGAACUAUAUAUUUAUUCAUUCGAAACUCCUCUUAAAUUAGUGAGAGUGAAGUUUCUUAUUUAGUAUUGAUUGUUCCAUAAAAUUUUCAAAGUUUUCAAAGUUUUCAAAUAGAUUUAUUUUUUCAAGUGUAGUUAAUAACCGCAAUAAAAAUUAAACUUUAUAAGUGAUAAAUUUAUAUUAAAAAUUGUUUGAUAUAUUCAUAAAAUAUAAGUUUGAGUUCAUCUACUUUUACAUUUCUUUUACCUAUUUAAAUUAUUUCUUAAUUUUCCUUAUUUUUUAAAAAUUUAUUCUUAAUUUUUUAUAUAGGAAAUAUAAUCGACGUGGAAAUGAAAAAGUUAGGAGAGAACAUGGUUAAACAUUGUGCAGGGCUUCCAUUAGCCAUUGUUGUGUUGGGAGGAAUUUUGGCUACAAAGAAUAAUUCAUUAAACGAAUGGCAAAAGAUAUCUGACAAUGUAAAAUCAUACUUGAAGAGAGGCAAAAAUCAAGGACCAAAGGAUGUGUUAGCAUUAAGUUAUGAUGAUUUGCCUCCUUAUCUAAGACCAUGUUUCCUCUAUCUAAGCCAUUUUCCGGAGGAUUAUAUGAUAGAUAUGGAUAGAUUGAUUCAAUUAUGGGUUGCUGAAGGUAUUGUGUCAUCAAAGCAAGAAGAAAGAGACGGUGGGGAAAUUGCGGAAGAUGUGGCGGAAUCUUAUUUAAUGGAGCUUGUGGAAAGGUGCAUGAUUCAAGUACGAGAAAGAGAUGUGGCAACCUUAAAGGUCAAAACAAUUCAGAUGCAUGAUCUGAUGAGAGAUCUUUGCUUAUCAAAGGCAAAACAAGAAAAUUUUGUCUUCAUUGUCGAUCAAUCAAAUGCAUCUUCAUUAUCUAUGAUUCGGAAGGUUCGUAGGGUUUCUGUGCAUGAGUUUUUUUUCAUACAAUGCAUUAAAAGUCCAAAUAUUCGGUCAGUUUUGUUCUUCGAUGAGUUCUUUCCGGAGGAGGCAUUAGAAAAAUCUUUGCCCUUGGAAGUGUUGAAUUACGUUGAAGAACAUGUAGAUGAAGUUCGUAAUCCACUUGUUUGGAUUCUUAUGAUUUCGCUAGGUUGUACGAGACUUCUUAAAGCUCGGGGAAUUUGGAGAUACAUGUUCAACAACUUCAAAUUGCUAAGAGCCCUAAACUAUGAGAGAACAGGAGGUUAUCCUUUUGUAGGGUUUAAGUUACCCAGAGAUAUAGGAAAUCUCGUCCAUUUAAGAUUCUUGAGUCUAAAGGAUCAUGAGUUCUUAUGGCCAAAGUUGCCAUCAUCUCUACGCAACUUAAGGUGCUUGCAAACCUUGGAUUUAAGAGUUGGUUGUGGCAUAAUUCAUUUACCUAAUGUGAUAUGGAGGAUGGAGCAACUAAGACAUUUAUAUCUCCCUUUAAGAUGUAAAAGCAGUACUAAGUUGAAGUUGGGUACUUUGAGAAAACUCCUAACACUUGUGAACUCAACACCAAGAAUUGUUAUCUGAAGGAACUUA
rnacentral:lncRNA from 1 species